rnacentral:rRNA from 1 species
GAUGAACGCUGGCGGCGUGCCUAACACAUGCAAGUCGAGCGAUCUUCUUCGGAAGAGAGCGGCGGACGGGUGAGUAACGCGUGGGUAACCUGCCCUGUACACACGGAUAACAUACCGAAAGGUAUGCUAAUACGAGAUAAUAUGCUUUUAUCGCAUGGUAGAAGUAUCAAAGCUCCGGCGGUACAGGAUGGACCCGCGUCUGAUUAGCUAGUUGGUAAGGUAACGGCUUACCAAGGCGACGAUCAGUAGCCGACCUGAGAGGGUGAUCGGCCACAUUGGAACUGAGACACGGUCCAAACUCCUACGGGAGGCAGCAGUGGGGAAUAUUGCACAAUGGGCGAAAGCCUGAUGCAGCAACGCCGCGUGAGCGAUGAAGGCCUUCGGGUCGUAAAGCUCUGUCCUCAAGGAAGAUAAUGACGGUACUUGAGGAGGAAGCCCCGGCUAACUACGUGCCAGCAGCCGCGGUAACAC